CGCGCAGGCGGACAGUUUAGUCAGAGGUGAAAGCCCGGGGCUCAACCUCGGAAUUGCCUUUGAUACUGGCUGUCUUGAGUACGGGAGAGGUGUGUGGAACUCCGAGUGUAGAGGUGAAAUUCGUAGAUAUUCGGAAGAACACCAGUGGCGAAGGCGACUGUCUGGUCUGUAACUGACACUGAGGCGCGAAAGCGUGGGGAGCAAACA
rnacentral:rRNA from 1 species